GAUGAACGCUGGCGGCGUGCCUAAUACAUGCAAGUCGAGCGAACAGAUGAGGAGCUUGCUCCUCUGACGUUAGCGGCGGACGGGUGAGUAACACGUGGAUAACCUACCUAUAAGACUGGGAUAACUUCGGGAAACCGGAGCUAAUACCGGAUAAUAUAUUGAACCGCAUGGUUCAAUAGUGAAAGACGGUUUUGCUGUCACUUAUAGAUGGAUCCGCGCCGCAUUAGCUAGUUGGCAAGGUAACGGCUUACCAAGGCAACGAUGCUUAGCCGAUCUGAGAGGGUGAUCGGCCACACUGGAUGUGAGGCACGGUCCAGACUCCUACGGGAGGCAGCAGUAUGGAAUCUUCCGCAAUGGGCGAAAGCCUGACGGAGCAACGCCGCGUGAGUGAUGAAGGUCUUCGGAUCGUAAAACUCUGUUAUUAGGGAAGAACAAAUGUGUAAGUAACUAUGCACGUCUUGACGGUACCUAAUCAGAAAGCCACGGCUAACUACGUG
rnacentral:rRNA from 1 species